CAACCUGGCUAAAGGAAUAAAAGGUGAAUGCCAUUACUCAGAAGUAGCCCUAGAGGAGAACUGUUUUGGUCAAUGUCUCGAUUUGUUCAUCCAACUGGAUCCUGCUUCUGGAGUACCUCAGCACCCACCGUACUCAGGUUAUUGGGACCAUAUCAUACGGAACAGGUACAAAUAAAUGUUAUCCUUUUACCUUUCAGUAUAUUUUUUUUGUUUUGCUUUGCCAUAAGAACUCAAACACAACAAGGGAUUUUUAUUUGUCUGGGUUUCUGAAUUCUCACAGGAAGCAA
rnacentral:lncRNA from 1 species